rnacentral:rRNA from 1 species
AAAAGCUCAAAUUUGAAAUCUAGCACCUUCGGUGUUCGAGUUGUAAUUUGAAGAUGGUAACCUUGGGUUUGGCUCUUGUCUAUGUUCCUUGGAACAGGACGUCAUAGAGGGUGAGAAUCCCGUCUGAUGAGAUGCCCAUUCCUAUGUAAGGUGCUAUCGAAGAGUCGAGUUGUUUGGGAAUGCAGCUCUAAGUGGGUGGUAAAUUCCAUCUAAAGCUAAAUAUUGGCGAGAGACCGAUAGCGAACAAGUACAGUGAUGGAAAGAUGAAAAGAACUUUGAAAAGAGAGUGAAAAAGUACGUGAAAUUGUUGAAAGGGAAGGGCAUUAGAUCAGACUUGGUGUUUUACGAUUAUCUUCUCUUCUUGAGUUGUGCACUCGUAUUUCACUGGGCCAGCAUCGAUUCGGAUGGCAAGAUAAUGGCAGUUGAAUGUGGCUUCACUUCGGUGGAGUGUUAUAGCUUCUGCUGAUAUUGCCUGUCUGGAUCGAGGGCUGCGUCUUUUGACUAGGAUGCUGGCGUAAUGAUCUAAUGCCGCCCGUUG